AAGUGUUUUUUUUUAAAAGUUUGAUUCUUUUUUAAUUUUUAUUUACAAAGUUCAAGAUAAUAUUAAUUGUAUUUUAUCAAAUUUAUCCCUAGAUAAUCAUUAUAUAGAAAGAAAAAAUAAAAUAAAUUUAAUAAAUAAUUAAGUGUAUUAUAGAUAAAAAGAAAAUUGUAGUUGAAAAAGUAAUAAUAAUAAUUAUUUUUUUUUUAGUUUUUUUUAAUUAUGAAUCAUCCUAAUAAUAAUUAGUACUAGUAUUACAUUAGUCGGUAGUCUUUAUAACACCAUAUUUUGUAUUAAUGUGUUCCACAAACUUUUCUUUUUCUUCUUUAAAGAAAGUUUAC
rnacentral:lncRNA from 1 species